CCUGCCUCUGUUUCUUGUUGGUCGUUCUCAUUAGUGUGUUUGUUUCUGUUGCCUGGGCCUGCUGUUUGUGCCUUUUGUGGUAUCUUCAGUAGAAUAUAAUGAAACUACAUUUGUCUGGGAAAAUCUCUGAGCUUGUGUCGUACCUUCCAGCCACUGUGUGACACACCAUCUGGUAUUGCUUGACAUACCAUUUAUUGUUCCUUAGGCACUGUCCACAAGUGGCCUGACAGUUACUCUGGCUUCCUUGUCCAUCUCCAAAGUGGAGGUGAUGCAUCUUUUCCAUUGGUGCUCAACGCCAGUGUAUGACACUAUAACAACAAGACUACGGUGACACAAUCUGACACCAGUCAGCCUGUCCCCAGAGAACACCAGCUUCUACCUGAUGCCAAGCCCAGUUCUACGGGGGACAUAGCUGGCAUUUGGCCCUAGAUGCUGGUAGACGAUAGAUGUUGUUGUGCUGUUAGGAGAAUAGACUGUUUUUUAUAUCCUAUAUAAUUAUAUUAUUCCUUUGAGCUUUAUUCCUACAUAUGGAAUUCAAAUAUUUAGUAUCAACCUCAAUUUAUUGAACAUCCAAGACAAGGCAAGUGUAAACUCAUCCGGACAAACAUUCAGAUUUUGAUAUCAUGUCCAAAUUCUGAAAGCUCUCUUUAUAACUGAGUUACAUUUUUUUCUGAUUUUUCUCUACAGUAGGAGGAACGUUUACCUAUACCCUUUUACAGGGAUAUGACAUUGAUGCAUUGAAAUGUCUUGAGCUUGGAGAAAGCAUUCUUGUAUAGUUCCUAUUAUGGGGACUGAACUCACAGUACUGAUUUCCAGUGAGGUCUCAUCUUUGUACCCUUGGCUGCCAGUGUGUCAUCUUUCCCAUUUUGGGGCGGCACCAAUGAGGAAAUCUCAAUUUUGACCUAGUCACAUGUAUUUUUUCUGCAUUUUAUAAAUGUGUUCAACAUAUAUUGGUUUAGUUACUGCCACCUACAGUAAAAUCUGAAGUUGAUCAUUGAGGCUUAAAAAGUAGUCUUCUUUUAUCAUGUCAGCCGAAAGCCUUUGUUGAGCUGAAACAGGACAAAUUAAAUACUUGUUUUUUCUAUUCACUAAAUGUCUAAAAUCAAACCGGUUUCUACACACAAAUGACAAGCCUAUAUCCUCUCUACCACAGUGCCUUCCAUUUUGUUACACGAAACACUGGCGCAUUUUGAUGUCACCAAUUAAUCCUGUCAGUAGGGUAGCUUGACUUCAUUAACUCUUUAGGGUUGCCUGGGUUUACACCAAGUCUGUAUAUGUUGAACAUAUGUUCAGUGUACCAUAUUGCUGGCGCAAAGUACGAUAUACUCUACAUCUUAAUGUUCUUGUACCGCUCUGGAAACUUGUACCGCUCUGGAAACUUGUACCGCUCUGGAAACUUGUACCGCUCUGGAAACUUGUACCGCUCUGGAAACUUGUACUGCUCUGGCAACUUGAUGUUAAUUGGGGACCUAAAUAGAAUGGAGGAAUGCCACAGUUUCCCUGGGGGGGGUGUUGAUGUGGUGGUCUUUUUUUGUUGGGUGCCAUAGUGGUCUUUCAAUAUAUCAUGGACAGUUAAUUUAUAUACUCUCUGAAGACUUCUCCAUGUGCAGUAGAAAGUCAUUUCUCCUGACCUGACAUCAUUGGUGAGGUUACCACAAAAUAAUCUCAAUUGACAGUCAUUGAGACAGCAAUAUUAUACAAAGCCAGAUUAUCGCAAGGGUUUCUAUAUUUUUCAUCUGAGGUAAUGGUAAUUAAGACUGUAAUACUGCUGACAGUGAAUAAAUGAUUAGAAUGACACAAUUAUGAGUAUUUUCUUUUUUCUUUUAGUCAUUUGGCAUUGCUCUUAUCCAGA
ensembl:lncRNA